AAUCUUUCAGUUGUUUUUACACAUUAUACUUUAUCUUUUAACACAAUUAUUUUAUAGUUCAGGUCACACCGUCUUAUGUUGGAUAAUUUAGCGGGUGAAAGAUUUCAAAAUGAUGAAAAGUUGUGGAAAUCAUUUGAAGGCCAUCAUUUGGAUUAGUUAUAUAAUGACAUUAGCUAAUAUAUUUUUAUGCUUUAAGUUACUGUGAUAUUAGUGUCUUUGGU
rnacentral:lncRNA from 1 species